rnacentral:rRNA from 1 species
CCUACGGGAGACUGCAGUGAGGAAUAUUGGUCAAUGGGCGGAAGCCUGAACCAGCCAAGUAGCGUGCAGGAUGACGGCCCUACGGGUUGUAAACUGCUUUUAUACGGGAAUAACGCGCCUUACGUGUAGGGCUUUGCAUGUACCGUAUGAAUAAGGACCGGCUAAUUCCGUGCCAGCAGCCGCGGUAAUACGGAAGGUCCGGGCGUUAUCCGGAUUUAUUGGGUUUAAAGGGAGCGUAGGCCGCAUGUCAAGCGUGGUGUGAAAUGUCCGGGCUCAACCCGGGCCUUGCAGGGGGAACUGGAGUGCUUGAGUGCGCGGAAAGCAUGCGGAAUGCGUGGUGUAGCGGUGAAAUGCUUAGAUAUGACGAAGAACCCCGAUUGCGAAGGCAGCUUGCUGCAGCGGAACUGACGCUGAUGCUCGAAAGCGCGGGUAUCGAACAGGAUUAGAUACCCCAGUAGUC